rnacentral:tRNA from 1 species
GGUCUGGUAGUUCAGUUGGUUAGAAUGCCGCCCUGUCACGGCGGAGGUCGCGUUCGAGCCCCGUCCAGACCGCCA